CUUAUAUUUAUACCAGUGGCGAGGCGACCACCUGGACUGAUACUGACACUGAGGUGCGAAAGCGUGGGGAGCAAACAGGAUUAUAUACCCUGGUAGUCCACGCCGUAAACGAUGUCGACUAGCCGUUGGGAUCCUUGAGAUCUUAGUGGCGCAGCUAACGCGAUAAGUCGACCGCCUGGGGAGUACGGCCGCAAGGUUAAAACUCAAAUGAAUUGACGGUGGCCCGCACAAGCGGUGGAGCAUGUGGUUUAUUUCGAAGCAACGCUAAGAACCUUACUUGGUCUUGACAUGCUGAGAACUUUCCACAUAUGGAUUGGUGCCUUUUUUUAACUCUCCUCCGGCGCUGCUUGUUUUGUCAUCAUUUCUUCUCUUGAAAUGUUGCAUUAUGUCACGUACCG
rnacentral:rRNA from 1 species